CGCCUAAUGAGGUACUGGGGGUUAGCAGUGAAGCAGUUUUAUCUGGUCCAAGUCAAUGAUUAGAGGUCUUGAGGCUGAACCAAUCUUAAUCUAUUCUCAAACUUUCAGUGGGUAAGAAGGUCACUGGCUUGGAGCCAGAAGUGGAAUGUGAAUGCCUAGUGGGCCAUUUUUGGUAAGCAGAACCCUGCUGGCUGUUAU
rnacentral:ncRNA from 1 species